GCCAGGCACGGUGGCUCAUGCCUGUAAUCCCAGCACUUUGGGAGGCCGAGACGGGUGGAUCACCUGAGGUCAGGAGUUCGAGACCAGCCUGGCCAACAUGGUGAAACCCCGUCUCUA
rnacentral:SRP_RNA from 1 species